AGAUGAAAAUGAAAAUGGAAGCCUGAUCAGAACCAGGAAGAGAGAGAGAGCUGCCUUAACAAAUGCCAACGAAAAGAGAUGAUUGAUCCUCGAGCUACGUAUAAAUGUUUUCAUCUGGUGCACGCACACACACGCACACAAAUGCACUGAACACACUCAUCAAAAAGACACACAACCAACAAUCAUAACGAGAUCGAAGAAACCCAUCCAGCACAGGGGACAGAUUCACCCCACCCGAAACUGACUUUUUCUGGAACUCAUCCAAAGCUCUGUCUGUCGUCUGCCUUUAACUCUCUCUUUCUGCCACUCUGUCCUUUCUGUGUAUGCGUAUGUGUCUAAUAAAUUAAUUUAAAUAAAUUAAAAACAAUUAAA